GUUUUCGACGGUUAUAAAUGGAAAAUCACAAUUUAACGGUUAUUUUAGCUUCGAUUUUUAUGAUUUUUUUACAGCUACACUCCUCGACCCUCUAAGAAUGCAUUGAACAAAUUAGAUCUUCAAUUUAAAAUAUUUACACUAGUGGAUACCACAAAAUCUUAUUUUAUAUUUGAUGGGGAAGUAUAACAUUAACUCUAAGUGUUUGUUUAAUCUAUCGUUUUGAUGUGAUACACAUUCUACGAAACAUUUUUCAACGAUCCAACCGUCAAACUUGUUUGUACACACUCCGAGAUCGCAUACGUAAAAAAUCGCAAAAAACAAACAUUCAAGAUUAGGUAACAGAACAAAAGUUUUCGAUGGUUAUAAACGAAAAAUCACAAUUUAACAGUUAUUUUAGCUCCAAUUUUGAUGAUUUUUUACAGCAA
rnacentral:lncRNA from 1 species